rnacentral:rRNA from 1 species
UGAACGCUGGCGGCGUGCUUAACACAUGCAAGUCGAACGAGAAUUCUCCGGCUUGCCGGAGAUAGUAAAGUGGCGUACGGGUGAGUAACGCGUGGGUAAUCUACCUCUGGAUUUGGGAUAACAUUGCGAAAGCGAUGCUAAUACCGGAUGAUAUCCUUUUUACCGUGGUAUGAAGGAUGAAAGGUGGCCGCUCCAUGGAAGCUACUGUUUGGAGAUGAGCCCGCGUACCAUUAGCUUGUUGGUAGGGUAAAGGCCUACCAAGGCUACGAUGGUUAGCUGGUCUGAGAGGGUGAUCAGCCACACUGGAACUGACACACGGUCCAGACUCCUACGGGAGGCAGCAGUGAGGAAUUUUGCGCAAUGGGGGAAACCCUGACGCAGCAACGCCGCGUGAGUGAUGAAGGCUUUCGGGUCGUAAAGCUCUGUCAAGUGGGAAGAACCUGUGUAUGGUUAAUAUCCAUAUGCACUGACGGUACCACUGAAGGAAGCACCGGCUAACUCC